UACGAAGGGGGCUAGCGUUGCUCGGAAUCACUGGGCGUAAAGGGCGCGUAGGCGGCCAUUCAAGUCGGGGGUGAAAGCCUGUGGCUCAACCACAGAAUUGCCUUCGAUACUGUUUGGCUUGAGUAUGGCAGAGGUCAGUGGAACUGCGAGUGUAGAGGUGAAAUUCGUAGAUAUUCGCAAGAACACCAGUGGCGAAGGCGGCUGACUGGGCCGAUACUGACGCUGAGGCACGAAAGCGUGGGGAGCAAACAGG
rnacentral:rRNA from 1 species